AGCAGGUCUGCUAUCAGCUAGAAGUCCUUAUGCCACUUGCCUCCAGUUAUGCUCUACUGGUAUAGAUACAGUUGCCCUUCUCGAUCAUCUUUUCCAGUUACAACAAGGGAGACGACACCCAUUUUGUGGUGGUAAGAAGCAGACCAGUUCGUCACACACGAAGGGGAGGGCGUCAUGCAGACAACAUCCAGCGAUGAGGUCUACUCUGCACAAUGUCAGAACUUUAGUUUGGUGGCAUCUAUCCUUUGGAUCUCCUUCACAUAACACACCAGGUAGGUACCUUCUCUGUUAUCUUUUCAGCACCUGCUAAAGACAUCCCUCUUUCACCAAGCUUCAGUUAGCUCAGUUGGUUAGAGUGUGGCGCUCAUAAUGCCAAGGUCGUGAGUUCAAUCCCUACAUGGGCCAGCUGCAUAUUCCUGUGUGUCAGAGAAGUUUUACUAGAUGAUCCUCAGGGUUCCUUCCAACUCUACAGUUCUACAGUUCUAAAAUAUUUAUCUUAGUUGGUACCUGUUUUGGAUUUGAAUUGAUUUUAUGUAUGUGU